UUAACCCCAAUCUGCCAAGGGAGGAAGCAGAAGCUGGAGAAGACAGUGUCUCUCUGGUGGCCCAGCCAGUGACCCACAGAGGUGGGAUUCACAUUUACAUCCAAGUGAGAGAACACUCAGGAACCACAUCACUUGACCAGUGGCUCAUCACACAGGUCCUGCCUUGAGUUCCUGCCCUGACUUCCCUCAGUGAUGACCCUUAUCUGUGGCUGUAAGCUGAGACAAACCCUUUCCUUUCCAAGUUUCUUCUGAUUUUGGUGUUUAAUCACAGCAGUAGAGACCCUACCUAAG